rnacentral:sRNA from 2 species
CGGCCAACGCCGCCGAAUCAUGGGCGACAUCAGUCGUCGCUUGCGAACCGGGGAACCACGUCCCGGGGGUGAAUCCGCUUCACAGCGGUAGGGCUCUUCUUCCAGCCCGAACCCGUCAGCUAACCCGGUAGGCGGCACAAGCGGAAGA